CGCGUUGGGAGGAGCGGAGCUGUAUGAGCCAACUACUGUGAGCCGAGAGGAGAUGAGAUGAGAUGAAAAAAACCCGGUUGUGUGAGAUAUAAACUGAGGAAUUGGCCAGGUUUUGAUGGCGAGCUGAAGAUCCAGGCCUAGAGCCUAAGAUCGAUUGCACUUUUGGUGCAUGAAGACCUCUGAUUCUCCUGCCAGGCUGGUAGGAGGCUCCUUGCAGCCAGCGAACAAUUUGUCCCCACUCUGAUCUGACUUAUACUGUCCCAAGCUGAGCGUAACUAUGAUGUUGGGGACCGUGAACUCCUAGCCUUUAAGCUGGCCUUGGAAGAGUGGUGCCGGUGGCUGGAGGGUGCAGUUCACCCGGUGCUAGUAUGGACUGACCAUGAAAACCUUGCUUAUAUUCAAUCAGCCAAAUGUUUAAAUUCCCAUCAAGCUCGCUGGUCUAUGUUCUUCUCCCGGUUUAACCUAUCUAUUUCAUACAUACCCGGAGAUAAGAAUGUGAAGCCCAAUGCAUUGUCUCGUCAGUAUUCACCAGACGACUCAGGUAAACAACCAACCACUAUACUUCCCCCCAGUUGCAUAGUUGGUUCCCUUACUUGGUAGGUUGAGAGUAUUGUCACCCAAGCCCUACAAUCUGAACCUGACCCCGGUACCGGUCCACCCAACCGCACCUAUGUCCCCUCAGCAGUCCGUUCAAAACUCAUCCACUGGUUUCACUUAAAGCUUUCAGCCCAUCCUGCACUAGUCAAACCAUAGCCCUCAUCUCACGAAGGUUUUGGUGGCCAUCCAUACAUAAGGAGUAUUAAGGAGUAUGUCAAAGUUUGUCAUGUUUGUGCCCACAAUAAAUCCAAUAACCAACCCCCAGCAGGUUUGCUCCAACCUCUCAGCAUCCCUAAAAGACCUUUGUCCCACAUCGCUUUGGAUUUUGUCACCGGCCUUCCGAGUUCUCAAGGUAUGACUUCCAUGCUAACCAUCCUGUCACCUUGUGCCUCUCAAAAAACUCCAUUCGGCGCUCCAAAUGGCCCAGCUGUUGUUCAAGCACUGUUAGUCUGCACGGCAUAUCUCAAGAAAUCCUCUCAGAUUGUGGCCCACAGUUUACUUCACAAGUGUGGAAACACUUUUGUGCAGCACUCGAUGCCAAGGUGUCACUUACGUCAGGUUAUCACCCACAAUCCAAUGGUCAAACUGAACGGAUGAAUCAAGAACUUGAAUCAACCCUCAAAUGCCUUACAUCAGUCAACCCUUCAGAUUGGAACAAAUACUUACCCUGGGUCGAAUAUGCUCACAAUUCUCACAUCUCUUCCACUGGAUUUUCACCUUUUGAAAUCUCUCUAGGUUACCAGCCCCCCUUAUUUCCAGCCGACGAAAAGGACAUUGCAGUCACCUCAGUUAAUCAUCACAUCUGCCGUUGUAAACAGGUCUGUCAAUCAACUAUCUGAGCUCUCUACUGCACCCCCCUUCAGAACAAGGUAUUUGCAGACAGAAAACGUUCACCAGCCCCUCAGUAUUUACCUGGACAGAAGGUUUGGCUUUCCUCCAAACACAUCCCCUUGAAAUCCAUGUCUCGAAAAUUAUCACCCAGAUACCUAGGUCCUUAUCAGAUUGAGUCCAUAGUCAAACCCACUUCAGUCCACCUCCGUCUUCCUGCCAGCCUCCGCAUUCAUUCUACUUUUCAUGUCUCCCAAUUAAAACCUGUCUUCACCAGCACUUUGUGCCCUCGGCCGAACCCCCUCCACCUGCCCGGGAC